AUGAACGCUGGCGGCGUGCCUAAUACAUGCAAGUCGAACGAGUUCUGAUUAUUGAAAGGUGCUUGCAUCUUGAUUUAAUUUUGAACGAGUGGCGGACGGGUGAGUAACACGUGGGUAACCUGCCCUUAAGUGGGGGAUAACAUUUGGAAACAGAUGCUAAUACCGCAUAAAUCCAAGAACCGCAUGGUUCUUGGCUGAAAGAUGGCGUAAGCUAUCGCUUUUGGAUGGACCCGCGGCGUAUUAGCUAGUUGGUGAGGUAACGGCUCACCAAGGCAAUGAUACGUAGCCGAACUGAGAGGUUGAUCGGCCACAUUGGGACUGAGACACGGCCCAAACUCCUACGGGAGGCAGCAGUAGGGAAUCUUCCACAAUGGACGCAAGUCUGAUGGAGCAACGCCGCGUGAGUGAAGAAGGCUUUCGGGUCGUAAAACUCUGUUGUUGGAGAAGAAUGGUCGGCAGAGUAACUGUUGUCGGCGUGACGGUAUCCAACCAGAAAGCCACGGCUAACUACGUGCCAGCAGCCGCGGUAAUACGUAGGUGGCAAGCGUUAUCCGGAUUUAUUGGGCGUAAAGCGAGCGCAGGCGGUUUUUUAAGUCUGAUGUGAAAGCCCUCGGCUUAACCGAGGAAGUGCAUCGGAAACUGGGAAACUUGAGUGCAGAAGAGGACAGUGGAACUCCAUGUGUAGCGGUGAAAUGCGUAGAUAUAUGGAAGAACACCAGUGGCGAAGGCGGCUGUCUGGUCUGUAACUGACGCUGAGGCUCGAAAGCAUGGGUAGCGAACAGGAUUAGAUACCCUGGUAGUCCAUGCCGUAAACGAUGAAUGCUAGGUGUUGGAGGGUUUCCGCCCUUCAGUGCCGCAGCUAACGCAUUAAGCAUUCCGCCUGGGGAGUACGACCGCAAGGUUGAAACUCAAAGGAAUUGACGGGGGCCCGCACAAGCGGUGGAGCAUGUGGUUUAAUUCGAAGCAACGCGAAGAACCUUACCAGGUCUUGACAUCUUUUGAUCACCUGAGAGAUCAGGUUUCCCCUUCGGGGGCAAAAUGACAGGUGGUGCAUGGUUGUCGUCAGCUCGUGUCGUGAGAUGUUGGGUUAAGUCCCGCAACGAGCGCAACCCUUAUGACUAGUUGCCAGCAUUUAGUUGGGCACUCUAGUAAGACUGCCGGUGACAAACCGGAGGAAGGUGGGGAUGACGUCAAAUCAUCAUGCCCCUUAUGACCUGGGCUACACACGUGCUACAAUGGAUGGUACAACGAGUUGCGAGACCGCGAGGUCAAGCUAAUCUCUUAAAGCCAUUCUCAGUUCGGACUGUAGGCUGCAACUCGCCUACACGAAGUCGGAAUCGCUAGUAAUCGCGGAUCAGCACGCCGCGGUGAAUACGUUCCCGGGCCUUGUACACACCGCCCGUCACACCAUGAGAGUUUGUAACACCCGAAGCCGGUGGCGUAACCCUUUUAGGGAGCGAGCCGUCUAAGGUGGGACAAAUGAUUAGGGUG
rnacentral:rRNA from 2 species